rnacentral:tRNA from 1 species
GUAAAGUUAGUUUAAAAAAAAAUACUGGAUUGUGGGUUCAGAGAAAGAUUUAUAGUCUAUUUUAUU